GACGAACGCUGGCGGCGUGCUUAACACAUGCAAGUCGAGCGAAUGGAUUAAGAGCUUGCUCUUAUGAAGUUAGCGGCGGACGGGUGAGUAACACGUGGGUAACCUGCCCAUAAGACUGGGAUAACUCCGGGAAACCGGGGCUAAUACCGGAUAACAUUUUGAACCGCAUGGUUCGAAAUUGAAAGGCGGCUUCGGCUGUCACUUAUGGAUGGACCCGCGUCGCAUUAGCUAGUUGGUGAGGUAACGGCUCACCAAGGCAACGAUGCGUAGCCGACCUGGGAGGGUGAUCGGCCACACUGGGACUGAGACACGGCCCAGACUCCUACGGGAGGCAGCAGUAGGGAAUCUUCCGCAAUGGACGAAAGUCUGACGGAGCAACGCCGCAUGAGUGAUGAAGGCUUUCGGGUCGUAAAACUCUGUUGUUAGGGAAGAACAAGUGCUAGUUGAAUAAGCUGGCACCUUGACGGUACCUAACCAGAAAGCCACGGCUAACUACGUGCCAGCAGCCGCGGUAA
rnacentral:rRNA from 1 species